GUUAAAAUCGUUUAAUCACAUGUUACACCGCAACAAGAAGGUGGAUUUCAUCGAGCAGUUCAACGAGAAGCUUCUGGUCAAGCAGGAAAAUGAGAACCUUCAGAUUCUCGAUGUGCGGAACUCUGAGUUGACUGAAGUUUGCAAAACUGAGUUUAUGACUCCCUCAGCGUUCAUUUUCUUGUACGAGAACCAUCUCUUCUUAACAUUCCGAAACCGAACUGUGGCGGUGUGGAAUUUUCGCGGAGAGUUA
rnacentral:misc_RNA from 1 species